rnacentral:rRNA from 1 species
CGGGACGGGUGAGUAACGUGUGGGCAACCUGCCCUGCACUGGGGAAUAAUCAUUGGAAACGAUGACUAAUACCGCAUACGGUUCCUGGGAGGCAUCUUCUGGGAAAGAAAGGAUUUAUUCGGUGCAGGAUGGGCCCGCAUCUGAUUAGCUAGUUGGUGAGAUAACAGCCCACCAAGGCGACGAUCAGUAGCCGACCUGAGAGGGUGACCGGCCACAUUGGGACUGAGACACGGCCCAAACUCCUACGGAAGGCAGCAG